rnacentral:rRNA from 1 species
AUGCACGCUGGCGGCGUGCCUAAUACAUGCAAGUCGAGCGAACAGAUGAGGAGCUUGCUCCUCUGACGUUAGCGGCGGACGGGUGAGUAACACGUGGAUAACCUACCUAUAAGACUGGGAUAACUUCGGGAAACCGGAGCUAAUACCGGAUAAUAUAUUGAACCGCAUGGUUCAAUAGUGAAAGACGGUUUUGCUGUCACUUAUAGAUGGAUCCGCGCCGCAUUAGCUAGUUGGUAAGGUAACGGCUUACCAAGGCAACGAUGCGUAGCCGACCUGAGAGGGUGAUCGGCCACACUGGAACUGAGACACGGUCCAGACUCCUACGGGAGGCAGCAGUAGGGAAUCUUCCGCAAUGGGCGAAAGCCUGACGGAGCAACGCCGCGUGAGUGAUGAAGGUCUUCGGAUCGUAAAACUCUGUUAUUAGGGAAGAACAAAUGUGUAAGUAACUAUGCACGUCUUGACGGUACCUAAUCAGAAAGCCACGGCUAACCACGUG